GAUGAACGCUGGCGGCGUGCUUAACACAUGCAAGUCGAACGAUGAAGCCCAGCUUGCUGGGUGGAUUAGUGGCGAACGGGUGAGUAACACGUGAGUAACCUGCCCUUAACUCUGGGAUAAGCCUGGGAAACUGGGUCUAAUACCGGAUAGGAGCGUCCACCGCAUGGUGGGUGUUGGAAAGAUUUAGCGGUUUUGGAUGGACUCGCGGCCUAUCAGCUUGUUGGUGGGGUAAUGGCUCACCAAGGCGACGACGGGUAGCCGGCCUGAGAGGGUGACCGGCCACACUGGGACUGAGACACGGCCCAGACUCCUACGGGAGGCAGCAGUGGGGAAUAUUGCACAAUGGGCGCAAGCCUGAUGCAGCGACGCCGCGUGAGGGAUGACGGCCUUCGGGUUGUAAACCUCUUUCAGUAGGGAAGAAGCGAAAGUGACGGUACCUGCAGAAGAAGCACCGGCUAACUACGUG
rnacentral:rRNA from 1 species